GAUGAACGCUGGCGGCGUGCCUAAUACAUGCAAGUCGAGCGAACAGACGAGGAGCUUGCUCCUCUGACGUUAGCGGCGGACGGGUGAGUAACACGUGGAUAACCUACCUAUAAGACUGGGAUAACUUCGGGAAACCGGAGCUAAUACCGGAUAAUAUAUUGAACCGCAUGGUUCAAUAGUGAAAGACGGUUUUGCUGUCACUUAUAGAUGGUUCCGCGCCGCAUUAGCUAGUUGGUAAGGUAACGGCUUACCAAGGCAACGAUGCGUAGCCGACCUGAGAGGGUGAUCGGCCACACUGGAACUGAGACACGGUCCAGACUCCUACGGGAGGCAGCAGUGGGGAAUCUUCGGCAAUGGGCGAAAGCCUGACGGAGCAACGCCGCGUGAGUGAUGAAGGUCUUCGGAUCGUAAAGCUCUGUUAUUAGGGAAGAACAGAUGUGUGAGAAACUAUGCACGUCUUGACGGUACCUAAUGAGAAAGCCACGGCUAACUUCGUG
rnacentral:rRNA from 1 species